rnacentral:rRNA from 1 species
UACGUAGGGUGCAAGCGUUGUCCGGAAUUAUUGGGCGUAAAGAGCUCGUAGGCGGUCUGUCGCGUCUGCUGUGAAAACUCGGGGCUUAACCCCGGGCCUGCAGUGGGUACGGGCAGACUAGAGUGCGGUAGGGGGAGACUGGAAUUCCUGGUGUAGCGGUGAAAUGCGCAGAUAUCAGGAGGAACACCGGUGGCGAAGGCGGGUCUCUGGGACGGUACUGACGCUGAGGCACGAAAGCGUGGGGAGCAAACAGG